rnacentral:rRNA from 1 species
GGGAUGGCGGCUGCUAUACAUGCAAGUCGAGCGGACAGAUGGGAGCUUGCUCCCUGAUGUUAGCGGCGGACGGGUGAGUAACACGUGGGUAACCUGCCUGUAAGACUGGGAUAACUCCGGGAAACCGGGGCUAAUACCGGAUGCUUGUUUGAACCGCAUGGUUCAAACAUAAAAGGUGGCUUCGGCUACCACUUACAGAUGGACCCGCGGCGCAUUAGCUAGUUGGUGAGGUAAUGGCUCACCAAGGCGACGAUGCGUAGCCGACCUGAGAGGGUGAUCGGCCACACUGGGACUGAGACACGGCCCAGACUCCUACGGGAGGCAGCAGUAGGGAAUCUUCCGCAAUGGACGAAAGUCUGACGGAGCAACGCCGCGUGAGUGAUGAAGGUUUUCGGAUCGUAAAGCUCUGUUGUUAGGGAAGAACAAGUACCGUUCGAAUAGGGCGGUACCUUGACGGUACCUAACCAGAAAGCCACGGCUAACUACGUGCCAGCAGCCGCGGUAAUACGUAGGUGGCAAGCGUUGUCCGGAAUUAUUGGGCGUAAAGGGCUCGCAGGCGGUUUCUUAAGUCUGAUGUGAAAGCCCCCGGCUCAACCGGGGAGGGUCAUUGGAAACUGGGGAACUUGAGUGCAGAAGAGGAGAGUGGAAUUCCACGUGUAGCGGUGAAAUGCGUAGAGAUGUGGAGGAACACCAGUGGCGAAGGCGACUCUCUGGUCUGUAACUGACGCUGAGGAGCGAAAGCGUGGGGAGCGAACAGGAUUAGAUACCCUGGUAGUCCACGCCGUAAACGAUGAGUGCUAAGUGUUA